CUACGUGGCAAACAAGUUACCAGUAGGAGCAGUAGAUUCACAGAAAACAAACAAGACCCAGCAUUCAUAAUAUGCACGCUCCUAUGGCUGUGCAAUUGGGCAAAUAGUUGAAAGGGGUGUGUUCAAAAAAAUAGCAGUGUGGCGUUCAAUCACUAAGGUCAUCAAUUUUGAGAAAAAACAGGUGUGAAUAAGGUGACCCCUAUUUAAGGAUGAAGCCAGCACUUGCUGAACAUUUAUUUGAAAGCCUGAGGAAUAUUAGUUGUUCAAGACAUUGUUAAGCAGAAUAGCGUACUUUUAUCAAAAAGUUGAUUGGAGAGGGGAAAACCUAUAAAGAGGUGCAAAAAAUUAUAGACUGUUCAGCUAAAAUGAUCUCCAAUGCCUUAAUAUGGAGAGCAAAACCAGAGAGACGUGGAAGAAAACGGAAGACAACCAUCAAAAUGGAUCGAAGAAUAACCAGAAUGGCAAAGGCUCAGCCACUGAUCAGCUCCAGGAUAAUCAAAGACAGUCUGGAGUUACCUGUAAGUACUGUGACAGUUAGAAGACAUCUGUGUGAAGCUAAUCUAUUUUCAAGAAUCCCCCGCAAAGUCCCUCUGUUAAAACAAUUUGCCAAAUAACACAUCAACUGGCCUAAAGAGAAAUGGAUGAACAUUUUGUGGACUGAUGAGAGUAAAAUUGUUCUUUUUGGGUCCAAGGGCCACAGACAGUUUGUGAGAUGACCCCCAAACUCUGAAUUCAAGCCACAAUACACAGUGAAGACACAGUCUUGGUUCCAAACCAACAAAAUUAAUGUUAUGGAGUGGCCAGCCCAAUCCCCGGACCUUAAUCCAAUCGAGAACUUGUGGGGUGAUAUCAAAAAUGCAGUUUCUGAAGCAAAUCCAAGAAAUGUAAAUGAAUGGUUGAAUGUUGUUAAAGACUCAUGGAGUGGAAUAACAGCUGAGAGGUGCCACAAGUUGGUUGACUCCAUGCCACACAGAUGUGAAGCAGUUUUAAAAAACUGUGGUCAUACAACUAAAUAUUAGUUUAGUGCAAAACAAAAACGUUUGUACAAAAUAGUAUUGAGUUUGUACAGUCAACGGCAGACACUGCUAUUUUUGAACACACCCCUUUCAACUAAUUGCCCAAUUGCACAGCCUUAAGAGCGUGCAUUUCAUGAAUGCUGGGUCUUGUUUGUUUUCUGAGAAUCUACUGCUCCUACUGGUAAAUUGUUUGCCUCAUAGCAAUAAAAAAUAUACUAAAAUCCUGGAUUAUCCUGGUUAGUCACAAUGUACUGCU